CUUCGUAAUCCGCAACAGCAGGUGGGGCCGGAAACGUACCUGGCCCACCAGCCAGCCUAAGAAUGUCCGAUGGCAACAGCGCUACCGCCGGCCGGCGACGGCGGACGAAGCGUCUCAGCGCGGAGAAAGGGGGCGAGCAGCCUAGAGAGAGGGAGAGAGAUACGCGGGAAGUAGGCGGUGCGGCGGGGAGACGCCGUCAUAUGGACCGGCCCGCCGCCGCCGGUUGUUUCCGCCGCACCAGCAAGGGCUACACGAUCCAGACAAUUAGAGCUCCUGAGAAGUAGAGGAUGUUGUUGAUUCAACGUGCACUUGAACACCCUCUAACAGCGGAAUCUGAAAAGGUUCUUCAGAUCCCGGUAGGUGAAUGCUGCUUCUCUCAUGGCAUCUGCUUUCUUCUCAGGCCAGUUAGGGAAGUGCUUGAGCACUGCCCGUUCGUCUAUCAGUUCACUUGGCUGGUAUAUUUUUUAGAUUUACCUUGAGCUGUCGGUGUGCUAUUUUACACCAACCAAGAGGUAAAGGUUUUUUAUCAUUCUUCUUUCUCUGAAAAAUAUGUCAUUUUCCUUCAUGCUUGGUUUCUUCUGAUUGCGCUUUUGUCCUUUUUGUGAAGUUGUGACAGCAAAAGCCUGAAUACAAGCUUUCUUCUGCCUCAAGCUGUGUAAAAGGAACUCAGAUGGAACUCCUUUACCAGCCCUGGACACCUUUGGCUAAUAAGACCAAGUGAAUAUUUUGAAAAGUAGAGGGACAAGAAGAAACAAAAUAAAGCCAAGCAAAAGAAGGGGAAAAGCAGAUCUGAAUGUGUUUAUCUUUCAAAACACACAGGUUUCUGGUGAAGCCUUUCCUACCUGUAUCUGAACAGCAUUGGGCAUCUGUUUAUGCCACCAAAUAUAGGCGGUAGCAGAACCCCAAAAACGACAUAUCAGUAGGUUUAGAAAAAGGAGUCCCUACAAAGAAAGAUUCUGGCAAUGUUAUAAAGAAAAUGUAGAAAUAAACUGUUACAGGAUGACAGCAGAUUAAGCUGGCAUCAAAGGUUACUCUGUGUACUCUGAGAUACAGGUACCAUUGUAACGUCCCUGAUCCGUAGGGAACUGAGGCCAUGUUUAAGGAGUUCAUUGAUGUCGCUGCGUCAGUUUCCAUGCUCGGAUUGGGUGCGAUUUGUGUAGAAUGCGAUCUCAGUACCUGGUUGGUGGAAGUACUGCAUACAUAUAUGCAGUGCGGUGCAUCAACUGCGAGAGAUGCUUUGCAUGGACCCCCUGUGACUCGUUACGCCUAAUGAUGUACCAACAAUUGCACUCAUAAAUGUAAGGAGUGUCUGGGACUGAGUAGUGAUUAUUUUCAAUUA